CCUGUAGGUCUCGCUUAGCUACCAGUACAGUGCAGAUUGCUUUCUUUAUUCAAUUGAUUUUGUUGUCUAUGUAUUACCUGAACUCCAAGGGAACCAACUUACAUGGCGUAAUGGAUGGAGGUGUUAUUGGGGCUUAUUUUUUCAUGAUUGGAAACAAGAUGUUGCUGGUGUUGGAGCUCACAGAGAAUGGUAUUAUGAUAGUCUACUUACUUCUGAAGGUGCAUUAGAAGAUAAGUGGAUGUCCAGAUUCUUUGGCCUCAGAAAAGUGGUGAUAAAAAUCUUGAAGUAUUGUUAGCAUUUUCCUCUAAAAAUGGAAAGAGCAGAUACAAAGAAGAAGAGAACACAUUUGGGUACACCUACCAGGACAGUUUGUUCUACGUUUAUCUUGCUUUGGGGUUGCAGACCCUAACAUAUCAAGAUAGCUCUUGAUG